CACUGACAUUAGAUACCCGUGUAGUCCUAGCCGUAAACGAUACUCGCUAGGUGUCGGCCACGGUGCGACCGUUGUCGGUGCCGUAGGGAAGCCGUGAAGCGAGCCACCUGGGAAGUACGGCCGCAAGGCUGAAACUUAAAGGAAUUGGCGGGGGAGCACCACAACGGGUGGAGCUUGCGGUUUAAUUGGAUUCAACGCCGGAAAUCUUACCGGGACCGACAGCAACAUGAAGGCCAGGCUGAAGACUUUGCCGGAUUAGCUG
rnacentral:rRNA from 1 species